AUGCUCUACCCCGCCGGGGUGUAUGUCGAGAGCACCCUUCGUGUGUGGGUGAUGUCAAGGUGGAGGGGCACAAGGGGGUUCACCGACUUCUUCCUUGGGGCCGGCUACGGGCACCUCCCCCGGGGAUGUCCAAGGAUGUACCGAGUCGACGAGGUCAUCCACAACGGGGUUGUGGUUGCUAUCCUUGCCCACUUCACCAACCCCCUCGACGCGUUCUACCUCCUCGGCCGCGUGUUCUGGUGUGGCUGCGAGUUCAUAGCUUUCACCACCCAUAACAUCUUCACGGACUACGACAACAUCUUCCCCACCGAGGAGCGCAUGCACACUCUGCCGCCCCAUCAACAACACCGCGGAGGAGCAGUGAAGGGUGCCCGGAGGAGGAGCGAGGAGGAGCCUGGUGGAGAAGCGGCGGCCAUCUAUCUAUCUAUCUAUCUAUCUAUCUAUCUAUCCUUUUUAGCUAAAAAAUCUAUCUAUCUAUAUUUGUCUUGGUGUUAUUUAAGUUGUAAGCGUUCUAUAUGUCAUGUUGUGGGCUUUGGUUGGCCCGAAUUAUCCAUAUUUAUUAUAGAAAGUUUUACAGUGGUUGGGCUUUUCUAG
rnacentral:rRNA from 1 species